UGCCGCGUGAGUGAUGAAGGCCUUAGGGUUGUAAAGCUCUUUUACCCGGGAUGAUAAUGACAGUACCGGGAGAAUAAGCUCCGGCUAACUCCGUGCCAGCCGCCGCGGUAACUACGUGCCAGCAGCCACGGUAA
rnacentral:rRNA from 1 species